rnacentral:lncRNA from 12 species
AUGCCACAGAACAUGACAGAAAAACUCGAACUCACAGCCAUGCUGACUGACCUCCCAUCUGGCUCUGUGGUUUCAUCAAGGUCUUUCAGGCUAGUGAAACAAGAUUGGAAAGGACAUAACAGAAGCAAAGUACUCCUCCCAUUCCCAUACAAAAACAGUCUGCUUAGCAAGUCAUGGGCCACCAUUUCUGGGAGCACCACAGGAGGCAAGCCCAACAGAACUCCUGGAGACUCUAAAACCUUUCCUCUACAAUCCAUCCUCUCGUCCUUCAGUGCAAAGUGCGUAUAUACUUGGAAUCUCUUCUUGACAAAACUGAAUGCCUAUGAAGCACAAGCAUCAAUGCUAGAUACUUCAAGAGAUGUGGAGAAAAUCACGUGACAAGAUGAGGCCUCAUCAUCCCCAACACUUACAAUGUAGGCAAUUGAUCUAACUUCUUUCUAAUAGCAGAUGCCAGGAGAAGAGCCUGUUCCCCAGGAUUUUGUGACAUCCUCUGGUUAGAUGUAGUGAAAAAAAUAUUACAUUUCUAUUGGUAUUUAUUUUUAUCUAUUUUUUAAACAUUUCUAUUUCCGUAUUUUAUAAAUAUGAGUGUUAUAUCAAUACACUAGCAAAUGUUGAUAAUUUAUACUAAACACGAAUUAGGAGUUGGGAUUUAUUUUACGAAUAGGGGGUUGUUUUGCUGAUAGAGGCACAUGUUAAAAUCAUUCUGGAAAUGAGUGGUUAUAACUUUUACUGUGUCUUAUGCACUAUCUAAAAAAAUCAUCAGUGUGUACCAACAGGCACAGGAUAGUGUAGCAUUAUAGUAGGUGUGUAGAUAGAGGGGUGACAUUUAUAGAAAGAGGUAGAUGAGGCUUGUUUCCAGAUAUCAGAUAAACUAUCACAAAAUCUGGUAAUUACAAUCAAAUUUCCAUCUGGUAACACAAUUACAUGCAAAGAAAAACAGAGACAUUAUCUUUCUUGCUGUCUAACCUGGCAACUGGAAGUCCUCUGCCUUCUCUCAUUUACUCAGUGUUUGCCUGACCUCUGGCCGCCCUCCUCCCCAGAUUGCAGGAAGCUGCUGGUGGGUAGAUGAUGUUUUGUUGGGUACUUCUGUGACCUUUAUGCCAACUACAUGAUUCCAAAUGCAAAUGUUCAUAAGAUAUACGUUUUGCAGAGUGGUUAAGCAUCGGACUCUUGUUUUGGCUCAGGUCCUGGUCUCAGGGGCCUGGGACUGAGCCCCACCUCCAGCUCCCAGCUCAGCACAGAAUCUGCUUAAACUCCUCUUCCUCUGCCCACUUUACCCCCUCAAAUAAAUAAAUCUUUAAAUUUUUUUACA